AUUGAACGCUGGCGGCAGGCCUAACACAUGCAAGUCGAGCGGAUGAAGGGAGCUUGCUCCUGGAUUCAGCGGCGGACGGGUGAGUAAUGCCUAGGAAUCUGCCUGGUAGUGGGGGAUAACGUCCGGAAACGGGCGCUAAUACCGCAUACGUCCUGAGGGAGAAAGUGGGGGAUCUUCGGACCUCACGCUAUCAGAUGAGCCUAGGUCGGAAUAGCUAGUUGGUGGGGUAAAGGCCUACCAAGGCGACGAUCCGUAACUGGUCUGAGAGGAUGAUCAGUCACACUGGAACUGAGACACGGUCCAGACUCCUACGGGAGGCAGCAGUGGGGAAUAUUGGACAAUGGGCGAAAGCCUGAUCCAGCCAUGCCGCGUGUGUGAAGAAGGUCUUCGGAUUGUGAAGCACUUUAAGUUGGGAGGAAGGGCAGUAAGUUAAUACCUUGCUGUUUUGACGUUACCAACAGAAUAAGCACCGGCUAACUUCGUG
rnacentral:rRNA from 1 species